rnacentral:rRNA from 2 species
GGAAACAGUUGCUAAGACUGGAUAGGAAAUUAGAAGGCAUCUUUUAAUUUUUAAAAGACCUUUUUCGAAAGGUAUACUUAAAGAGGGGCUUGCGGCACAUUAGUUAGUUGGUAGGGUAAAAGCCUACCAAGACCAUGAUGUGUAGCUGGACUGAGAGGUUGAACAGCCACAUUGGGACUGAGACACGGCCCAAACUCCUACGGGAGGCAGCAGUAGGGAAUUUUCGGCAAUGGAGGAAACUCUGACCGAGCAACGCCGCGUGAACGAUGAAGUAUUUCGGUAUGUAAAGUUCUUUUAUUGGAGAAGAAAAAAUAGUGGAAAAACUAUCUUGACGAUAUUCAAUGAAUAAGCCCCGGCAAACUAUGUGCCAGCAGCCGCGGUAAUACAUAGGGGGCGAGCGUUAUCCGGAAUUAUUGGGCGUAAAGGGUGCGUAGGCGGUUUGGUAAGUCUAUAGUUUAAUUUCAGUGCUUAACACUGUUCUGCUAUAGAAACUAUCAGACUAGAGUGAGAUAGAGGCAAGUGGAAUUCCAUGUGUAGCGGUAAAAUGCGUAAAUAUAUGGAGGAACACCAGAGGCGUAGGCGGCUUGCUGGGUCUUUACUGACGCUGAGGCACGAAAGCGUGGGGAGCAAACAGGAUUAGAUACCCUGGUAGUCCACGCCGUAAACGAUGAGUACUAAGUGUCGGGGAAACUCGGUACUGAAGUUAACACAUUAAGUACUCCGCCUGAGUAGUACGUACGCAAGUAUGAAACUUAAAGGAAUUGACGGGACUCCGCACAAGCGGUGGAUCAUGUUGUUUAAUUCGAAGAUACACGAAAAACCUUACCAGGUCUUGACAUACUCUGCAAAGCUAUAGCAAUAUAGCGGAGGUUAUCAGGGAUACAGGUGGUGCAUGGUUGUCGUCAGCUCGUGUCGUGAGAUGUUAGGUUAAGUCCUAAAACGAGCGCAACCCUUGUCACUAGUUGCCAGCAUGUUAUGAUGGGCACUUUAGUGAGACUGCCAAUGAAAAAUUGGAGGAAGGUGAGGAUCACGUCAAAUCAUCAUGCCCCUUAUGAUCUGGGCUACAAACGUGAUACAAUGGCUGUUACAAAGAGUAGCUAAAACGCGAGUUUAUAGCCAAUCUCAUAAAAGCAGUCUCAGUUCGGAUUGAAGUCUGCAACUCGACUUCAUGAAGUUGGAACGCUAGUAAUCGCGAAUCAGCAUGUCGCGGUGAAUACGUUCUCGG